GUUUCAAUAUGGGUUACCUCAAACCCUACCUCAGAGGAUUUGGCUGUAAGGUUUUGUUCACUCACAAAACUUGAAGUCCAGGCUUCUGAAGAACUGGAUGUUUUCUGAUGUCCAGACAGGGAGACUGUGUCAAUUGUCCCUUCCAGUAGUCUAUCAGUAGAGCUUGUUGGUGAUUGAGAUCUAUCCUCAGUUACAAAAGCUUUGUCCCCCGGAUCAUGUGAAGACGCUAUGGGGUUACCAAGCUGGUGUGGUAUAAUAGGAGAUACAGGUCUCACUUCAUCCGGCUCCCUUUUAAGAAUUGAUGUGGAGGCCGGGCUACAGGCGAGGGAAUGCGUUUCACAGUCGUCUCCAAAGAUGUCACAGAGGCAGGUGGUCUCGGAAAUAACGUUGCGUUGACCUGGGAUUCUGGUGAUAUCAAAGAUCUCCACACGAUUUGGCCGGUCCCUGUUUUGCAGAUUGAAGGUGUGAGGAGCGCUGCGGAGGAAUGAGUAGCUGUCUCCCUCUAGGACCCAGCUUUCCAUUGCUUUUCUGCCGACCCCAGUGACACAGGAUGCAACGCUGCAGUGUGUAGUUGCGCCAGUACGUUGGCUACUCAGAAACACACACUGCCUGCUCUAGUAAGGGAUGCUGGGGAAAUUCCUGAACAUUGUGAGAUCUGUAAAAUAAAUUGAUGGUGUCAGGCAUUCAGGUAAAAAAUAUGAAUACGUUUUGAUUUAGUUACAUUGUAUAAAUCUUAUAGCUCCAGCAUUCUGGCUCAAAAGUAAACUCCAAGGCCAGAAUAAAUACAACUUUGAGUAGGGACAGAAUCGAUGGUAAAAACACAAAACUACGAAGACCAAAAUGGAAGAAAAGCCAACAUGGCAACAAUCUCUGAUCUCAGAAAUGACUAAUGAAUCAGCAUAUCUAACCAUAGUAUGGCACAAACUAAGGCUUUUAAAAGUACAAAUGGCCAAAAAAUAAGCAUAUUCCAUCAAAAGGUUGCAUUUUAUGUGAGGUGUGAGACAAAGGCAUGCAUAAAUUGUAGGUUGAAAUCUUUUUACUCAUUGUUUCAUUUUACUUUACAUCCUCCUCAACUUACAAAAGUUUAAAUACCCAUAUGAGUAUAAACCUUAAAAUUUAAAAAAUGUGGAUAGUUCCCCUUCCUAACCAACUCUGUAUCAAGUUGACUCAAAUCAAAUGACAAAGUUGCUUGAAUCUCAUUUGCAUGAAUUAAGUAAACACAGCCUCUUGAUUAUACAUCUAAAAUCUAAAAUCUUAAAUCUUAAAUCUUAAUCCUCAAUAUCAGAAUUGCCCAUUUUCAAUGACAGUUACACCGUUCAAGCAUGUCACAAAAUACUUCAAAUAUCAGGCAUGACUAUGUAUUAAUGUUUCGCUGAUUUACAAGUUUAAAUUGACGGACUACUACUAAGUGUACAUAAUACAGUACAGCAAAACCUUCGUUUAUUAUAUAUAAAGAACAAAUACCUGUUCAUUGUAGUUGCAUUCUUUCUGACUCUGAGUUGAAUGGGAGAGCUAUCUCACCCUCACAAGCAUUUAGUGGGAGCAGACGCAGUCUGAACUGAACCUUACCUCAUGCCGAUAGCCCUCCCGAGGGAGUCCUGUGUCUUCAGUCCCUCGCUGACCCCACACUCGGGCCAGUGUCCUCUUCCAGCAUAGUCCAGGAACUUCUGCAGAGUAUCCACCAACUACAGUUGAGUCAGUCUGGCCGCAUAUAGUUGGCCCUUUGAAAGACAUAUUGAUACCACAUUAUAAAAAGAUACAACAUCAUUAAAAGAUCAGAGAUUAGAAAAAGAGGAAGGGAAGGGCACAUUGGCCCCUCCUCUUAAGUCUCUACAAGAAAAGAAGUGCAUAAAUCUGACCUGGAUUUUUUUUGACUGAAGUUUGGCAGAGGCUCCUCAGUCUGUGCUCAGUAUGAGUGUAGGGUUAAAGCUCGCAGCAGGUGCAAGUCCAGCCAGAAAGGAGCAUACCACAGGAAUCUGACACGCUGUGGCAACAGUCACAGGGCCCUCCUAAAUAUAGACCAAUGCUAUCAAGGGAACAAACUGGUGUGUUUGAAGGCAAGGGACACUAAAUGUCAGCUGUAGUGGGGUACAGACAUGAUGAGCAUCACCUCCUGGAGUGUUAAGUUUGAGUCUGACAUACUAAUUAGAGUUAGAAGCCGUUUCAUUGAGUUCCUUAAAGUGCAUUAAAUUCACCACAAUUUGCAUAUGGGCAGGCAGCCAGAUGAAAGCCCUCAGUGUCACAAGAGGAACUUACAAAUACAAAGUCUCUUGGAACAACAGAGACACAAACUCUGGUUCUAACUUUGAAAGACUCAAAAAGCCUUUUUUCAUGAUUUGGGUCUUGAUUCGUUGUUUCAUUGUAAAUGGUUUAUGACAAACACUUUUCGCAGAGUUUUGUCUAUCAUUUUAUCCUUGGUCUAAUUUUAGUGUGUCAAAGCAUUACACUGUACAAACAGGCACUGUCUCGCUCAUGGGGAAAGAAUGUCAGGCACCUUUGCAAUGGGGGCUUUAGCAUGCAACUCCCCAGCAGAUCAAGCUUACUGUCUCCAACCCAAAACUCCAGU
ensembl:lncRNA